GUAGGGAGCGAGCGUUAUCCGGAUUUAUUGGGUGUAAAGGGUGCGUAGACGGGAAGUCAAGUUAGUUGUGAAAUCCCUCGGCUUAACUGAGGAACUGCAACUAAAACUGAUUUUCUUGAGUACUGGAGAGGAAAGUGGAAUUCCUAGUGUAGCGGUGAAAUGCGUAGAUAUUAGGAGGAACACCGGUGGCGAAGGCGACUUUCUGGACAAUAACUGACGUUGAGGCACGAAAGUGUGGGGAGCAAACAGGAUUAGAUACCCUGGUAGUCCACACCGUAAACGAUGGAUACUAGGUGUAGGGAACAUUAAGUUUUCUGUGCCGUCGCAAACGCAAUAAGUA
rnacentral:rRNA from 1 species